rnacentral:rRNA from 1 species
UACGUAGGGGGCAAGCGUUAUCCGGAAUCACUGGGCGUAAAGGGUGCGUAGGCGGCCGAUAAAGUCUGGGGUGAAAGGCUACGGCUUAACCGUAGUAAGCCUUGGAAACUUAUUGGCUUGAGUGCAGGAGAGGUAAGUGGAAUUCCUAGUGUAGCGGUGAAAUGCGUAGAUAUUAGGAGGAACACCAGUGGCGAAGGCGACUUACUGGACUGUAACUGACGCUGAGGCACGAAAGCGUGGGGAGCGAACAGGAUUAGAUACCCCGGUAGUCC